rnacentral:rRNA from 1 species
GCAAGUCGCACGAGAACACCGAACUUCGGUUUGGUAAGUAAAGUGGCGCACGGGUGAGUAACGCGUGGGUAAUCUACCCUUGAAUUUGGGAUAACAUUGCGAAAGCGAUGCUAAUACCGGAUGAAGUCAUAGCAGUUUAGGCAGCAAUGAUGAAAGAUGGCCUCUACAUGUAAGCUAUUGUUUGAGGAUGAGCCCGCGUACCAUUAGCUAGUUGGUGGGGUAAUGGCCUACCAAGGCCUCGAUGGUUAGCUGGUCUGAGAGGAUGAUC